rnacentral:rRNA from 1 species
UACGUAGGGUGCAAGCGUUAAUCGGAAUUACUGGGCGUAAAGCGUGCGCAGGCGGUUUGGUAAGACAGAUGUGAAAUCCCCGGGCUCAACCUGGGAACUGCAUUUGUGACUGCAUCGCUGGAGUGCGGCAGAGGGGGAUGGAAUUCCGCGUGUAGCAGUGAAAUGCGUAGAUAUGCGGAGGAACACCGAUGGCGAAGGCAGCGUUCUGGGAAGCAACUGACGCUCAUGUGCGAAAGCCAGGGGAGCGAACGGG